CCCUUAGAUGUUCUGGGCCGCACGCGUGCUACACUGAGUAAUUCAAUGGGUAAGGGAACGCUAGAGCAUUACCUAAUCUUGAAAUUUGCUCGUGAUGGGGAUCGACGGUUGCAAUUUUCCGUCGUGAACGAGGAAUACCUUGUAGGCGCAUGUCAUCAUCAUGCGCCGAAUACGUCCCUGCCCUUUGUACACACCGCCCGUCGCUCCUACCGAUUGAGUGAUCCGGUGAGGCUCUGGGACCUGGACGGAAAGAACGUUUCGCUUGUUCUGUUUGGGAAACUUGGUCGAACCUUAUCAUUUAGAGGAAGGAGAAGUCGUAACA
rnacentral:rRNA from 1 species